rnacentral:rRNA from 1 species
AGAGUUUGAUCCUGGCUCAGGAUGAACGCUGGCGGUAUGCCUUAUACAUGCAAGUCGUACGAGAGUUUUUAACUCUAGUGGCGGACGGGUGAGUAACACGUAAGAAUUUGCCUUUAGGAGGGGGACAACAACUGGAAACGGUUGCUAAUACCCCAUAUGCUUUCAAGUGAAAUGGAUUUCCGCCUAAAGAGAAGCUUGCGGCUGAUUAGCUUGUUGGUAGGGUAAUGGCCUACCAAGGCGACGAUCAGUAUCUGGUUUGAGAGGACGAUCAGACACACUGGAACUGAGACACGGUCCAGACUCCUACGGGAGGCAGCAGUAGGGAAUUUUCCGCAAUGGGCGAAAGCCUGACGGAGCAAUACCGCGUGAGGGAUGACUGCCUAUGGGUUGUAAACCUCUUUUUUCAGGGAGGAAUAAAUGACGUGUACCUGAAGAAUAAGCAUCGGCUAACUCCGUGCCAGCAGCCGCGGUAAGACGGAGGAUGCAAGUGUUAUCCGGAAUCACUGGGCGUAAAGCGUCUGUAGGUGGCUCGACAAGUCAACUGUUAAAUCUUGAAGCUCAACUUCAAAAUCGCA